UAGUGUCCUUUCCCCAUUAUUUAUUUUUGUUGUCUUUAAGAUUAGUUGGUUGUAGGUAUGUGGCUUUAUUCCUGUAGACUAUCUGCAAUACCCUUCAGCUACACAAAUAAGCAAAAAAGUACAAACCAAAAGCUGCAAUAUAGCCUUACUAAAUUAGCUAAAACUCUUUCAACACUCAUUGUUGAAGGAACAGAGAGAGAAAAAAAUCAUACCACAAUGUCAAUGGUUAUGUAGGUAUUGAAAUUUUUUUGUUACAUUCUUCUGAAAUUUUCUAAUGUUCCUCAAUAAGCAUGUAUUACCUUUCUAAUCAGAAAAAUAAACUUUAAAAAAUUGAGUGGGCUUUGGAUGCCAUGUGUACCUUCAUCUGCAUACAGUAUAAAGACAUACCUAACCUCUUCACUCUUCAGACAUACCGAAAACCACCGCAGUCUACACGUAUGCCCCAAAUUACUAUUUUCUUCCCAAAUAAAAUAUUCUAAUUUCAAAAAUUCAUCUCUACAUUCUGACUCCACAGCUUUUAGUACUUAAUAAUGUUUUUGUUUUUAGUUGACAAAAAUUAUAGUAUACAACAAGAUGUUUUGAAAAAUGUAUACACUGUGGAAUGGUUAGAUAAAGCUAACAUAUGCACCCUUCGGCUCUUUAAAAACUAACGUCCAAUUCAUCUAUCAACGACCAAUCAAAAUUCCGUGAGAGUAACGCCUUUGCUUAGCUUUCCAGUCCUGUUAAACGGUGAGAGAAAAAAGGGUCCCCAUGACCCUGCCCAACAAGACGCCACGCAGCCAGAAAACGCCAAGUGACCCCCAGGCAGAUACUUCCGGAAGAAAUCGGCUCUCCGAACCUGGAAGUGAAGACAGAAAACGCACGGAAUUCUGGGAAGCGUUACGGAGGCGGGAUUGCGUUUGCUGGCUGUUACCACGACAACCGGAGGCGAUUGACCGUUAUCUGCGGUUUGGAGCCGUUAGCGCGAGAGGUGGAGAUGUUCAGAGGUCAUUUAGGAUGAGCUAAAGGGUCGUGGGGGCUCUCUUAAGAUUAUCUUAACAAGAGGUUUCCGGUCGUGCCCCGCGCCCCAGCCGCUGGACGGGGGGAUCUGAGUCGCACUCUCUCGUUUUUCUGAGUCAGCCUUAAGGUGAAAUGAAGUGUGGCCCAGUGACUUCACUGUCGCUUUCCUAGUUUUCUGUCUUCUUUUAGGAAAUUGAAUUGAAAAGGCAGGAUGAAGUGGACACAGCAUGUGAAGACAAUUCUUUCAAGAAGUUUGGCUGUCAAGGAAAAUAGAGAAUGUGCUAAAGACCAUAUAGACAGAGCAGACAGGUCACCCUUGCUACCAUAUGGAGGUUUGUCUAAUAUUGAAGCUGAAGAAGCUAAGCUGGAAGACAGAGAGACCAAGUCCUGAUGACAUUGUUUGAACCAAAGAUACAGACAUGUCUGAAAACUAGUUUUACCACUGGACUUAUCAGUUAAAUGAGCCAAUAAACUCUCUUUUAUACUUAA